rnacentral:rRNA from 1 species
UAGUCCACGCUGUAAACGAUGAGUGCUAAAAGUGGGUUAUUUUAUCUGCUUUAUAGCUAACGCGUUAAGCACUCCGCCUGGGGACUACGGUCGCAAGACUAAAACUCAAAGGAAUUGACGGGGACUCGCACAAGCGGUGGAGUAUGUGGUUUAAUUCGAUGCAACGCGAAAAACCUUACCACACCUUGACAUAUGGAUCGUAUCCUUCUGAACGGAAGGAGUCAGCUUGGCUGGAUCCGAUACAGGUGUUGCAUGGCCGUCGUCAGCUCGUGUCGUGAGAUGUUGGGUUAAGUCCCGCAACGAGCGCAACCCCUAUUUCUAGUUGCCAGCAUGUAAUGAUGGGGACUCUAGAAAAACUGCCCGCGCAAGCGGUGAGGAAGGUGGGGACGACGUCAGGUCAUCACGGCCCUUACGUCCAGGGCUACACACGUGCUACAAUGGUAGGGACAGAGGGCAGCCACCCGGUGACGGGGAGCUAAUCCUAAAACCCUAUCUCAGUUCGGAUUGAAGU